rnacentral:rRNA from 1 species
UAGGGAAUCUUCCGCAAUGGGCGAAAGCCUGACGGAGCAACGCUGCGGGAGUGAUGAAGGUCUUCGGAUCGUAAAACUCUGUUAUUAGGGAAGAACAAAUGUGUAAGUAACUAUGCACGUCUUGACGGUACCUAAUCAGAAAGCCACGGCUAACUACGUGCCAGCAGCCGCGGUAAUACGUAGGUGGCAAGCGUUAUCCGGAAUUAUUGGGCGUAAAGCGCGCGUAGGCGGUUUUUUAAGUCUGAUGUGAAAGCCCACGGCUCAACCGUGGAGGGUCAUUGGAAACUGGAAAGCUUGAGUGCGGAAGAGGAAAGUGGAAUUCCAGGUGUAGCGGUGAAAUGCGCAAAAAUAUGGAGGAACACCAGUGGCGAAGGCGACUUUCUGGUCUAUAACUGACGCUGAUGUGCGAAAGCGUGGGGAUCAAACAGG